GGCCACCUUUAGCAUGGCCACUUUCUAGGCCACGUGCCAUCUCUCAAACUCUUUCCCUUUGAUUUCAAAAUAAUAAUUUCCAACCCCGUUUUGAAAUGAUUUUCCAACUUUUGGUUUUUAAAAUGUUUUCAAGUCAUCAAAUUUUCCAUCCUUAGGGUUUUUAGAUACCAACAUCUCAUUUUUAAUAAAAUUUGGUCGCCUUUUUC
rnacentral:lncRNA from 1 species